AUCCUUUUGUAGUUCACAAGCAUGAUGGCCAGUGCUCACAUACAUGUGUGAGCUGUGCCUCCCUCAGACUUUGUUAUAAUGUCAGCACAUUACAUAUUUGACA